GCACUCCUGGUCAUCCCUGGGCAGAUCUCACACAUGCGGGCCUCCUUCCUGGAUCCCUACAGCUCUUGAACCUGCUAGAAUGACAGGGACAUGAUCUUUAUGUACCCAACUGUGCCGUGUUCUUCCAAUAGGGAAAAAGGAGAGCUUAGCAAGCAGACAGUUGCUUCAUUUGACCAGGUGUGUAUCUUCCCACCUUGACCCAGCCUCCCUAUGCCUGGAUCUCUCCUACACAAAGCUCGACAGAUUUGCCACAUUUCUUAAAAGCUACAAACUUUUUUCUCUCUGAUGCUUCAAAACAAAUAAAGGCAAUAGCAAUAGCCUUUUUACAAGUGACAGCCAUUCUUUUAAGAUCUCAAACUGCAUCUUAUUGCGUGAUGGCUGUGUCUGUACCAUUUAAAGUGCAAAUCAACCGUUCCAUAUUCAUUUUCUUUGGGACUGCCCGAAUCCCACACUCCUGAAUUCUGCAAGUCCCAAAGAGCAAAACAGGACCGUCCCUGGUUCUUUCUGCUCUCGCUGUUGAUAAAAGUGAAAGGUGGUAGUCACCACCCAUCAACUCAGGCUUCUGAUGACAUGGUGAGACGCCCUCAUUAAAGCAGGUACAGGGUGCAGGGCAGAAAGGAGGGGUUUCCAUUUCGCCGCGAUGGGAGUAAAAGUUGAUCAGCAUGACACACCAGCUCCGCGAGGGGGAAUACCUGAAACAAUGUCAUCAACGUUGACUUACUGUAUUUAACCAGGUGACGUUUUAAUGAGCCAACCUCGGUGCUCCCUGGAUGACAAGCCUUCUCCAGCUGAGAGUAUACCACCUUUAAAAGGAAAAAAGAAAUUCCUAAAAAGCCAGAGAGUUGACACUUGCAGAUGAGUCUAAUUCCCUUUGUCCUGUGGACAUGCACUGUGUUGGGAGAGCUCCAAGUGCAUCGAGCUGAUAUUUGCUGUCAUCAGAAGUGACCUCGCUCCCCCAGGAGGCCUGCGGCCUGUCUGCGACAAUGACAGGGAGAGGAGCCAAGCUGCAACAUGGGGUCCUCAGAUGUGUAGCACAACAGGCUACGGCCAGCCCUGACGGGGGCGGCUGGAUCACAUGAAUUUUUAAAGUAAAACAACUGAUGUGUGUGUGGGGGGGUCUUACUCCCCCACCCCCCACCCCCGCCAUGAAAUCCCCAUGGAAGCAGUGCACGGACCCGGCAUGUUGAUUUUGGCACCGGCACACACAGUCCCUCUGUUCUGAAGAUGAGCUGACACGUGCAGAUUUGCAGAUCAGCCGUUUCCAAAGGUUAAUUAAAUAUUACCAUUGUUUUCUAAGCUAUUAAUGUAUGUGCUUUUAUUUUUUCAUGUGAAAGGCUGCUCCCUACUCAAAAAUCAGGGUUUAGGUUUGCCUCCCAAUUGGCUUCCCCUUUUUAAAAGGACAGAGAAUUGAGGGAGAGGGAGAGGGAGAGAAAGAGAGAGGGGGAGAGAAGACACAGAGACGCCGGGGCCAGAGGCAAAUGCAGUUUGGAGGUAGAAAGGAGUCUGUGGCUGACAUGGUCUGAAGUGGAGCCCCGGAAACACGUUUUCAGCUGCCGCUGAGGGAUUAGAAUCAUGUCAAUCCAGGAAGGUUCUAGAAAGGAGCAGGAAAGGAACCCCACUCCCUCCACCUUUGACUUGCUGACAUCAUUGAUCUCCCUGGAGCCCAGGAACGUUGCAAGCCUUGGCCUCGUGGUCCUGGGGGAGGGCCAGCGUGUGAGCGGGGCAGGUGGCCAGUGAGGACUAAGACAGGAGCACGCCCCCACUUUGCAGCAUCUGUCUGUCCCCUGCCAUCACCAAGGGACGCGGUUUCCUCCCUGCCUGGCCUGUCCUCCGGUUGGCAGGACAAGGCCCUCGGCGGGAAGGAGAGAGGGACUGCAGGAUGGACCACAAGGGAUAAUACGGCCGAGGUCACGGAGAGGACACGGCUCCUCGCCGGCAGGAAGUGCCACCCUCUGUGACUGCCGUUUACAAGAACUCUGAGCCGCGAUGUGAGCACAGCAGUCUGCAGGAAAUCUCUCCAGACAACCCAUCUUGCCAGGCAAGCAGGACAUGUUUUGUUUGCAAAGUAAUAAUGCCUCCCUGGCUGUGGGGAGGAGGCAGCUGACCUGUAGUGGAAUGAAUGAAAACAAAGGAGCGGAAGGAAGACAGGUGUGGACAGGGAACAGGGGACGGAUAGGAGAACCUUGGGCUGCAUUCCUCCCACCCAGGUGGACGAGCUUCCCUGGAUGAGCUCAUGUACUGGCACCUGACACGAGCCAGGCCCUGAUGAAAUGUCACGAUGCCUCGGAGAAGGCCCGACCAGGCCCUGUUCGUCAUGGAGCUUGUAGUGCACACGGCACAGGGACCAGAAUCGGAGAGCCAACAACAGAUUCAGUAAAUACAGAGCCCUGAGCUGAGAGUCCGCUGUGACCCGGCAGCCAGAGCCACGGGAAGGAGCUGCAGAGAGUCCAUUGAGGCUGAGGAACGCUAGUCUGAGUCAGGCAGGUAUGGGCACACCCAGGGGGCUGUCUGCUGGGCAUAGUAACUACCCCACCCCCACCAUCGGCAAGUGGGCAGCCGUGGGGACAUGAUCAGGCCCUCUGGCUGCAGGUAACUGAUGGGAGGCUGACCCCCAGCGCCCUGGUUCUAGGCUACCUGGUCUAGAAGCAAGCUCCUGGUUAGGGUUGCCAAGCUUAGCAAAUAGACAUUCAAGAUGCCCAGUUCCAUUUGCUUUUCAGAUAACCAACUAAUAACUUUUCCGUCGACCUUGUGAAAGUUUGGGGAGACCCUUACAACUAAGAAUGAUGAGUUGUUUCUCUGAAAAUUCUAAUGUAUCAGGGCAUCCUGUGUUUUACCUGACAACCCUACCUCUGACCCAAACUGGGCCCUCAAGAGAGCGCCAGCUGCCAAAUGGCACUAAAGGAGAACUGAGGCUGCCUCUCUCCAGGGCUGACGGUGCAAGACAUUUUCUGCCACGUGACGAAGGCCAGCCUACCUACCAAGAGAGGGCAUUAGAUGAAGGCAGGAGCGGAGACAUAGGGAGCGCUGAGGCCACGUUCAAGUCUCCUCCCUGCCUUUCCUACAGCUUGGUCAUUCUGCUGUCUGCUUUCAGAUCCCUGUUCCCUGCCCACCCCCACCGUAGGCCCCAGCCCCUGUGGACAGGGAAGAAAGCAGAGGCAUUUUAAUUCAUUAGCUCAAUAGUAACAAAGUCAAGCAAACCCACCUGGCGCACAAUAAGGCCAGGGUUACUAUGGUGCGUGGUCCACGCCAUAUUACAAGAAGAGAUGUCAUUUCUUGUGUAGACCAGGCUGCAUGCUUUUCCAAAGGAAGUGAAUCUUCAGGAUGGUGAGUUAUGAACGGAAGAG